UACAGAGGGGCAAGCGUUGUUCGGAAUUACUGGGCGUAAAGGGCGCGAGUAGGCGGCCUGCUAAGUCGAACGUGAAAUCCCUGGGCUACAACCCGAGGAACUGCGUCCGAUAACUGGUUGGCUUGAAUCCGGGAGAGGGAUGUGGAAUUCCAGGUGUAGCGGUGAAAUGCGUAGAUAUCUGGAGGAACACCGGUGGCGAAGGCGACAUCCUGGACCGGUAGUUGACGCUGAGGC
rnacentral:rRNA from 1 species